GAAUAAGCCACCGUCGCGAGCGCAUCCAAGACCAGACAGUGGGGCUUACCGCGUCGAUCUACUAGUGAAUAUACGCAGACCAUGACCCGCUGGUUCGUGAUGCUGUUCGCCGCCAUCUUGGGGCUCGCGAUGCUAGUGACGCUGGCGAUGGCUGACGAUGGAAUGCCGACGCCUCCCGUCAGACCGCAGCUAUUUAAGAGUCCGACCGACCUACGCGACUACUUGCAAAAGUUGAACGAGUAUUACGCAAUAGUCGGCCGACCGAGAUUUGGGAAACGUACGUACGGAUAUGGAGACACCAUGAAUGACGACGUAGACAACUGGCUUUAUGGACGUAUAUAAGAAAGAGGCUAGAUGGACAGUCGUGGAUCAAACACAAUGAUCAGGAAGGAUUUCAGUCAAGAAACAUGCCGGAGAUUUUGCGGAGCAGAAGCCAACGUCGUCUUGACAACUCUUCACAGUCUAUAGACAACGCGUCCACGCGCCAAUUCAAGCCGAAUGCCACCGCCAUCUUUAUAACAACUCAGAAGUCUGCAUUGGCGAUAUCAGAGACUGUUUCUUUUGCGGAAAUCAUCGUUAUCAGUUUGAUAAGUGACAGUGUAUAUGUAAACGAGCGUUAUCACAUGUGGUUGUAUAUGAUUAUGAUAUAUUUCUUCUGUCUACAUCACAAUAUAUGAUAUAUAUGUAUAUAUAUAUAUAUAUAUAUACACAUAUAUGUAUAUACAUAUAAAUGUAAGACAUAUAUUUACAGGGCAAUACUUGAUAAUUAAAAGGAGUGCUGUUUAUUAUCGUUGCGUAUGUUUAAUAAAUUAAAGUACUACUGUGUACGAAUAGUAGUAAUUAUUGUUCUAGAUGGGAUAUUUUCUGUAGUUUUUUUAAAUGUAAUAUACAUGCGGAUAUAUUUAUCCUACA